CCUACGGGCGGCAGCAGUGAGGAAUAUUGGUCAAUGGGCGAGAGCCUGAACCAGCCAAGUCGCGUGAGGGAGUACUGCCCUAUGGGUUGUAAACCUCUUUUGUCGGGGAGCAAAAGCCGGACGUGUCCGGCUGUGAGAGUACCCGAAGAAAAAGCAUCGGCUAACUCCGUGCCAGCAGCCGCGGUAAUACGGAGGAUGCGAGCGUUAUCCGGAUUUAUUGGGUUUAAGGGGAGCGCAGGCUGAUUUUUAAGUCAGCGGUAAAAUCGUGGGGCUCAACCCCAUCCAGCCGUUGAAACUGGGGAUCUAGAGUGUGCGAGAGGUAUGCGGAAUGCGUGGUGUAGCGGUGAAAUGCAUAGAUAUCACGCAGAACCCCGAUGGCGAAGGCAGCAUACCGGUGCACAACUGACGCUCAGGCACGAAAGCGUGGGUAUCGAACAGGAUUAGAUACCCUUGUAGUC
rnacentral:rRNA from 1 species